CGACCUGAGUUCAGGCGAGGCUACCCGCUGAACUUAAGCAUAUCAAUAAGCGGAGGAAAAGAAACUAACCAGGAUUCCCCUAGUAACGGCGAGCGAACCGGGAAGAGCCCAUCGUGAAAAUCUCCACUCAGUGGCGAAUUGUAGUGUAUAGAACUGUCCCCUAUCACAGCGCGGGCCCAAGUGCCGUGGAAGCGGUCGUCGUAGAGGGUGAGAGCCCCGUCGGCCCGCCGCCUGUGGUUCCACGGGGUCGGCUUCGCAGAGUCGGGUUGUUUUGGGGAAUA
rnacentral:rRNA from 1 species